rnacentral:rRNA from 1 species
AUCGAACGCUGGCGGCAGGCCUAACACAUGCAAGUCGAGCGGUAGCACAGAGAGCUUGCUCUCGGGUGACGAGCGGCGGACGGGUGAGUAAUGUCUGGGAAACUGCCUGAUGGAGGGGGAUAACUACUGGAAACGGUAGCUAAUACCGCAUAACGUCGCAAGACCAAAGUGGGGGACCUUCGGGCCUCAUGCCAUCAGAUGUGCCCAGAUGGGAUUAGCUAGUAGGUGGGGUAACGGCUCACCUAGGCGACGAUCCCUAGCUGGUCUGAGAGGAUGACCAGCCACACUGGAACUGAGACACGGUACAGACUCCUACGGGGGGCAGCAGUGGGGAAUAUUGCACAAUGGGCGCAAGCCUGAUGCAGCCAUGCCGCGUGUGUGAAGAAGGCCUUCGGGUUGUAAAGCACUUUCAGCGGGGAGGAAGGCGAUAAGGUUAAUAACCUUGUCGAUUGACGUUACCCGCAGAAGAAGCACCGGCUAACUCCGUGCCAGCCGCCGCCGUAAAAC